rnacentral:rRNA from 1 species
AUUGAACGCUGGCGGCAUGCUUUACACAUGCAAGUCGAACGGUAACAGGCCGCAAGGUGCUGACGAGUGGCGAACGGGUGAGUAAUGCAUCGGAACGUGCCCAGUCGUGGGGGAUAACGCAGCGAAAGCUGUGCUAAUACCGCAUACGAUCUAUGGAUGAAAGCGGGGGACGGUAAGGCCUCGCGCGAUUGGAGCGGCCGAUGUCAGAUUAGCUAGUUGGUGGGGUAAAGGCCCACCAAGGCGACGAUCUGUAGCUGGUCUGAGAGGACGACCAGCCACACGGGGACUGAGACACGGCCCAGACUCCUACGGGAGGCAGCAGUGGGGAAUUUUGGACAAUGGGCGCAAGCCUGAUCCAGCAAUGCCGCGUGCAGGAAGAAGGCCUUCGGGUUGUAAACUGCUUUUGUACGGAACGAAACGGUCUGGGUUAAUACUCUGGGCUAAUGACGGUACCGUAAGAAUAAGCACCGGCUAACUACGUGCCAGCAGCCGCUGUAAAAC